rnacentral:rRNA from 1 species
CUACGGGUUGCUCCAGUGGGGAAUAUUGCACAAUGGGCGCAAGCCUGAUGCAGCCAUGCCGCGUGUAUGAAGAAGGCCUUCGGGUUGUAAAGUACUUUCAGCGGGGAGGAAGGGAGUAAAGUUUAUACCUUUGCUCAUUGACGUUACCCGCAGAAGAAGCACCGGCUAACUCCGUGCCAGCAGCCGCGGUAAUACGGAGUGUGCAAGCGUUAAUCGGAAUUACUGGGCGUAAAGCGCACGCAGGCGGUUUGUUAAGUCAGAUGUGAAAUCCCCGGGCUCAACCUGGGAACUGCAUCUGAUACUGGCAAGCUUGAGUCUCGUAGAGGGGGGUAGAAUUCCAGGUGUAGCGGUGAAAUGCGUAGAGAUCUGGAGGAAUACCGGUGGCGAAGGCGGCCCCCUGGACGAAGACUGACGCUCAGGUGCGAAAGCGUGGGGAGCAAACAGGAUUAGAUACCCUGGUAGUC